rnacentral:lncRNA from 1 species
CUGUGUUCUAAAGCAUUGGAGGGAAUAUGUUCCAGCAAUAAUCAAUGCAGAAAUUUUACUUUUCCUCCUUGAAGACUGCAGACGUCCAGGAGGAAGCCAUAGCAGCACAAAGACCCUGGGCAAGAACGAGAUGGCUUUGUCCACAGAACAGGAAGAAGGAACAUAUUCAAGAGAAAAGUAGAGAGCUUGCCAUUCAUUCGUCAAAAUGUGAAGUUACUUUCUUUUUCAUCACUUCAAAGAAGCUUGUAAAAUAUUUUUAAAAGGAAGGGCUAUCGAAUAGAAAGACUACAUGAUAGCAGGACUGUAGGACAGCAUGAUAAUUGAAACUACUACUAUGAUCUGAAGUUUUUGUUUUUCCUUAGUGAGGCAUUCACACCCUUUUAAAAUUAAACCAGCCACUAACAGAACAGUAAUACCAAUGUAAAAAUGUUUUAAAAGUCAUCCCUUGCAAAACCUUACUUUUAAGAUAUUAGCAGUCGCCACAGAAGUUUAUAUCCUCUUUUGUAUUUAAAGGCAUUUAUUGAUUCUAAUUGUAUUUGUUAAGAUUAUCUUUUCUUUUAUUUCAUUGUUUUAACAAGUUACAUGUUUAUCGUAGAGAUCUAAAGUUUUAAAAAUUUUAAAGAUGCUUUUCAUUUGAACUUUUAAAUAUACUGUAAUGUAGGUCCCUGUGAAAUGUGUUUAAAUUAUAAUUGAACCAAAAAUAUCUUGGGUGACUUGUCAAUUUAAAAAUCCAUGAAAUUGAUAUAGUCAGAUUGUGAACUCUGAAGUUAAACUUCGGUUAUUUGGAAUUUUUAGAGAAUAAGAUGUCCAGAUUAAAACAAAUUUUUUGAGGAGUACAGUGAUGGUAUUUUUUCGAGUUAUAAUAUUUUUUUAAUAAAAAAAUAAAAAGUUCUUUGACAAG